ensembl:misc_RNA Metazoa_SRP Metazoan signal recognition particle RNA
GCCAGGGGCAGUGGCUUGUGCCUGUAAUCCCAGUGCUUUGGGAGGCUGAGACAGGAGGAUUGCUUGAGCCCAGGAGUUCGAGGUUACAGUGGGCUAUGAUGGCACCACUGCACUCCAGCCUGGGUGACAGAGCAAGACCCUGUCUCUU